AGUAACGCGUAGGUAACCCGCCUUGUAGCGGGGGAUAACUAUUGGAAACGAUAGCUAAUACCGCAUAACAAUGGAUGACACAUGUCAUUUAUUUUGAAAGGGGCAAUUGCUCCACUACAAGAUGGACCUGCGUUGUAUUAGCUAGUAGGUGAGGUAACGGCUCACCUAGGCGACGAUACAUAGCCGACCUGAGAGGGUGAUCGGCCACACUGGGACUGAGACACGGCCCAGACUCCUACGGGAGGCAGCAUG
rnacentral:rRNA from 1 species